rnacentral:rRNA from 1 species
GACGAACGCUGGCGGCGUGCCUAAUACAUGCAAGUAGAACGCUGAAGGAGGAGCUUGCUUCUCUGGAUGAGUUGCGAACGGGUGAGUAACGCGUAGGUAACCUGCCUGGUAGCGGGGGAUAACUAUUGGAAACGAUAGCUAAUACCGCAUAAGAGUAGAUGUCGCAUGACAUUUGCUUAAAAGGUGCAAUUGCAUCACUACCAGAUGGACCUGCGUUGUAUUAGCUAGUUGGUGGGGUAACGGCUCACCAAGGCGACGAUACAUAGCCGACCUGAGAGGGUGAUCGGCCACACUGGGACUGAGACACGGCCCAGACUCCUACGGGAGGCAGCAGUAGGGAAUCUUCGGCAAUGGACGGAAGUCUGACCGAGCAUACGCCGCGUGAGUGAAGAAGGUUUUCGGAUCGUAAAUGCUCUGUUGUAAGAGAUAGAAUGAUGUGUGAUGAUGUGGAAAGUUCACAC